rnacentral:rRNA from 1 species
AUUGAACGCUGGCGGCAGGCCUAACACAUGCAGGUCGAGCGGAUGAAGGGAGCUUGCUCCUGGAUUCAGCGGCGGACGGGUGAGUAAUGCCUAGGAAUCUGCCUGGUAGUGGGGGAUAACGUCCGGAAACGGGCGCUAAUACCGCAUACGUUCUGAGGGAGAAAGUGGGGGAUCUUCGGACCUCACGCUAUCAGAUGAGCCUAGGUCGGAUUAGCUAGUUGGUGGGGUAAAGGCCUACCAAGGCGACGAUCCGUAACUGGUCUGAGAGGAUGAUCAGUCACACUGGAACUGAGACACGGUCCAGACUCCUACGGGAGGCAGCAGUGGGGAAUAUUGGACAAUGGGCGAAAGCCUGAUCCAGCCAUGCCGCGUGUGUGAAGAAGGUCUUCGGAUUGUAAAGCACUUUAAGUUGGGAGGAAGGGCAGUAAGUUAAUACCUUGCUGUUUUGACGUUACCAACAGAAUAAGCACCGGCUAACUUCGUG